rnacentral:rRNA from 1 species
AGUGAACGCUGGCGGUAGGCCUACACAUGCAAGUCGAACGGCAGCACAGUAAGAGCUUGCUCUUACGGGUGGCGAGUGGCGGACGGGUGAGGAAUACAUCGGAAUCUACUUUUUCGUGGGGGAUAACGUAGGGAAACUUACGCUAAUACCGCAUACGACCUACGGGUGAAAGCAGGGGAUCCUCGGACCUUGCGCGAUUGAAUGAGCCGAUGUCGGAUUAGCUAGUUGGCGGGGUAAAGGCCCACCAAGGCGACGAUCCGUAGCUGGUCUGAGAGGAUGAUCAGCCACACUGGAACUGAGACACGGUCCAGACUCCUACGGGAGGCAGCAGUGGGGAAUAUUGGACAAUGGGCGCAAGCCUGAUCCAGCCAUACCGCGUGGGUGAAGAAGGCCUUCGGGUUGUAAAGCCCUUUUGUUGGGAAAGAAAAGCAGCAGGUUAAUACCCCGCUGUUCUGACGGUACCCAAAGAAUAAGCACCGGCUAACUUCGUG